UUCCGUUUGAAAGGGUCACGGGGUCUCCUGUCUUAAGAAAAUUUCCUGUGAAAUUGAAUUUGUAGUGAAGAUGCUACAUCCAAAUUGUUAGACAAGAAGUCCCCAUGGAACUUUACUGGAGACUUAUGAGGCUUAAAUUAAUUUAUUUCUUACAAAUAAAUAGUUUUAAAAUGUGGUGUUAACCUCUCGGGGAACCGGGGGUUAGAAAAGCUCACUCUUUUAUUUAAAGAAAGCCAACUCAAACAAUUAUGUCUUUGGGAUUUGAUAAGUGGGACAGUUUGGUUGGGGCGACCGCCUUUAAAAAAGUAACGAAGGCGGGCUUAAGAUACAUAUUUAGUGAUGUCUGACUGCCAAGGGGAGAUCCUGAGCAGACACUUACUUUUUAGGUGGGUUUAAGUGACCCGUUAAUUUAGGGGAAGAUAGUUAACGAUAAACA
rnacentral:rRNA from 1 species